rnacentral:piRNA from 1 species
UGCAGUACUACCUCUGACAGGGAGGU